GAGGUAUUUGUUGGAAUCAAGAAGAAUCUUGGAUAUAUGCUUGUAUGAAUUUAUAUGUAACAAUCGAUAAGACGGCAUGUUAUGUUUCAAAUAACUAUGGCGAGGAAUGGUCAAAACUAGAUAUUCGCGUGGGCUCUGUUCUUGGUCAUCAUUUAUUAACAAGAGAUUUAUAUGUUAUACAUCGAAAUCAAAAAACCUACUUGAUGUAUCACAAAACUUAUGAAAAA
rnacentral:lncRNA from 1 species